CCUACGGGGGGCAGCAGUGGGGAAUCUUGCGCAAUGGGCGAAAGCCUGACGCAGCAACGCCGCGUGCGGGAUGAAGGCCUUCGGGUUGUAAACCGCUUUCAGCAGGGACGAAGUUGACGGUACCUGCAGAAGAAGCCCCGGCCAACUACGUGCCAGCAGCCGCGGUAACACGUAGGGGGCGAGCGUUGUCCGGAUUUAUUGGGCGUAAAGAGCUCGUAGGCGGUUCUGUAAGUCGGGUGUGAAAACUCUGGGCUCAACCCAGAGACGCCACUCGAUACUGCGGUGACUUGAGUCCGGUAGGGGAGUGUGGAAUUCCUGGUGUAGCGGUGAAAUGCGCAGAUAUCAGGAGGAACACCGACGGCGAAGGCAGCACUCUGGGCCGGUACUGACGCUGAGGAGCGAAAGCGUGGGGAGCGAACAGGAUUAGAUACCCUGGUAGUC
rnacentral:rRNA from 1 species